rnacentral:rRNA from 1 species
ACGAACGCUGGCGGCGUGCCUAAUACAUGCAAGUUGAGCGAUGAAGAUUGGUGCUUGCACCAAUUUGAAGAGCAGCGAACGGGUGAGUAACGCGUGGGGAAUCUGCCUUUGAGCGGGGGCAAACAUUUGGAAACGAAUGCUAUUACCCCUUAUUAACUUUAAAAAUAAGUUUUAAGUUUGAAAAAGGAAAUUCCAUCACUCAAAAUUGAUCCGCCGUUGUAUUAGCUAGUUGGUGAGGUAAAGGCUCACCAAGGCGAUGAUACAUAGCCGACCUGAGAGGGUGAUCGGCCACAUUGGGACUGAGACACGGCCCAAACUCCUACGGGAGGCAGCAGUAGGGAAUCUUCGGCAAUGGACGAAAGUCUGACCGAGCAACGCCGCGUGAGUGAAGAAGGUUUUCGGAUCGUAAAACUCUGUUGGUAGAGAAGAACGUUGGUGAGAGUGGAAAGCUCAUCAAGUGACGGUAACUACCCAGAAAGGGACGGCUAACUACGUG